UAAGGAAUAUUGGACAAUGGAGGCAACUCUGAUCCAGCCAUGCCGCGUGCAGGAAGAAGGCGCUAUGCGUUGUAAACUGCUUUUGUAACAGAGAAAAUCACUGUACGUGUACGGUGUUGAUAGUAUGUUAAGAAUAAGCAUCGGCUAACUUCGUGCCAGCAGCCGCGGUAAUACGAAGGAUGCGAGCGUUAUCCGGAUUUAUUGGGUUUAAAGGGAGCGUAGGCGGUCAUAUAAGUCAGUGGUGAAAUCCUAUCGCUUAACGAUAGACGUGCCAUUGAUACUGUAGGACUUGAGUACAGAUGCCGUUGGCGGAAUGUGUCAUGUAGCGGUGAAAUGCAUAGAUAUGACACAGAACACCGAUUGCGAAGGCAGCUGACGAAACUGUAACUGACGCUGAGGCUCGAAAGCGUGGGGAUCAAACAG
rnacentral:rRNA from 1 species